GACGAACGCUGGCGGCGUGCCUAAUACAUGCAAGUCGAGCGCAGGAAACUGACGGAACUCUUCGGAGGGAAGGCAGUGGAAUGAGCGGCGGACGGGUGAGUAACACGUAAGGAAACUGCCUCAAGGAUUGGGAUAACUCCGAGAAAUCGGAGCUAAUACCGGAUAGUUCAACGGACCGCAUGGUCCGCUGAUGAAAGGCGCUUCGGCGUCACCUUGAGAUGGCCUUGCGGUGCAUUAGCUAGGUGGGGGGGUAACGGCCCACCAAGGCGACGAUGCAUAGCCGAACUGAGAGGGUGAUCGGCCAAACUGGGACUGAGACACGGCCCAGACUCCUACGGGAGGCAGCAGUAGGGAAUCUUCCACAAUGGACGAAAGUCUGAUGGAGCAACGCCGCGUGAGUGAUGAAGGUUUUCGGAUCGUAAAACUCUGUUGUAAGGGAAGAACACGUACGAGAGGGAAUGCUCGUACCUUGACGGUACCUUACGAGAAAGCCACGGCUAACUACGUGCCAGCAGCCGCCGUAA
rnacentral:rRNA from 1 species